AGCAUGCUGCUUCCGAUUGAAUCCUAGCAAUGUUGAUUUUUUUAUUUGCUACACCAAAAAUCAAUCCAGAAGCUGGACUCUGUGUGUUGUUCUACCUAGUAGAGUCUAUGUUCUACCCCACGAGUAAUACAUGUUUUCUCCCCUCCUCUGGGACUCUUUUCAAAGUGCCUACAAAGAUGUUUUUGUUUUCUUAAACUGUUAACAUGCAAUUCCUACUGUUCGUUUCUACACUGCCUUCUUAAGGAAGACGACAGCGGUAAUAUCUUGUGCUGGAAAAGGAUCUCGAGGAGUUUUCAUGCGCUUUAGACACAGGCACUUCAGAAGGCAUCAAGACGAGGUCGAGGAAGGACCCUAAUAAGGGAGCGGGAAACUGCGGAAGUGGUUGGUGUUACGGCGCGAGGAGAUGCUGCAAAAUGUAGUACAAGUUCAUCCAAGUCCAAUGCUCCAGUAAAGUCCUUAUUAUAACUUUAAAGAUCAAGAUCAGCUUUAUGUUCAUGUGGCACUGACAAUCUCUGUGGAUGUAAGACUGAUGUUAAAUUAGAAAAGCAACUCUCCACUGUUGCAGUACUACUUGGAGUUGUCAAAGCAGCCUCAGCCAAAACAGUCCAGAAAAUGCAGAUCUAUAUUUUCUGAGCUCAUCUGCAAAUUGUAUCAGUGAUGGUCUUUCUCCAGUAACAGUUUUUGCCAACUCAAUCUUGGAAACUUAAGUUUUCUAGCUUUUUUACAAUUUUCAGAGCUGUGUUUCAAUAGUUCACAUAGUGGAUUCACAUUUUCUUUAUCCCCAUACUGGAGCAGAAUAUACUUGCAAGCAGCUACAACAAUUUUCUCUCCUUGAAUCUAUUUUCCAGUUCCUGAGUACAGUGGUCAAUAACGCUGUUAUAAAGCCUUCUGCACUCUAGUUCAUCUUCACCCCUUCCUUAAAAAUUAAUGUCCCGACUAUCAACAAUGCUGUCAUAAAAAAUCCUGUCAGAAAACCAUAGCUUACAAAGGCACACAGGACCAUGUGUCGCACACAGAGACAGGCGCCUAGAACAUCCAUCUCAUGGGGGUAUCCCCCAAUGCACCUUGCUCAUCAUGAGGUGCACUGUGGGAUAUCCGGGGGGUGGGACACGUUCCAGCCUCCAAAGAUCUGCACUGCUUAGAGCAGCACAGAUUGGGAGAUUUGUCUGGCAGCAUUUGUUGGUUGAAUGGGGGAAAGGUAAGUUGGGCCCUGCUUCCCCUGAGUAUUUACUGAGUAUUCCAGCCAGUCCCACAGUUUAAACCAGGGGUACCGGAAUCUCUGCCAUUGUCAUUUUUCUUUGUCCCUGGAUAUGAGGAAAGAUAAGGCUGUGCUGGUCUAGACUCACCCAAGUCUGUCGGUGCAGUUCCAGGAAAGUCAGCUGAGUUUCUUGUUGAACUCUCAGUGCUACAUUCUCUUUCCAAAGCAGCACUGGUAGAUGAAGGUUUACAUUCGGUGUUUCCUUCUUCACCUAGUAAAGCUGCCACCAAACUGACAGGAAUUGCUGCUUUCUGGCAAAAAAGUUUGUGAUGGGUGUUUAUGUUGAAGCCAUGAUGAUAAUAGUGGUGGUGGUGGUGGUGAAGUAAUAAUCUGUAGAUGCAGACAUAAAAGUAAUCAGGGAACUGUAAAAGUAAUCAGUGAACCAAUACAUGCAUGAAAAGGAGCGUUGGUCACUCACCAUGAAGGCUUCUUCCAGCUGCUGUUGUGGAAGACAUCUCGUGUGGGUUAUCAUCCCGAACUCGCUCCAGAGAGGUAGGACUAUGUAAAUAAGCUACCAAGCCUCUAAAAGCCUCGGGAGGAUAGCCCCUCCCAGUUUAAGUAGGCAAGCUAAGCUUCUAGAAAGGAAGAAGUACAAGUUGUAGUUAAUACAGUUAUCAGAAUAGAAAAAACAAGACCCAGAAGCCGGGAUGUCCCGGGUGGGUUGAGAUGUCUUCCACAACAGCAGCUAGAAGAAGCCUUCACGGUGAGUGACCAAUGCUCCUUUCUCAGCUGCUAUGGGAAGACAUCUUGUGUGGGACAUGCCACAGCUGACAGACUCUGGGAGGGAGACAUCCCAGCUACUGGGAAGGAAGAACGUGCUGGAGAACACGCCUGCCAAAUGCAGCCUGAGAAGAGUGCAGCAAAUCAAUUUUAUAAUGUUUUGUGAAGGUCGAUGGAGAGGACCAAGUAGCUGCCCGGCAUAUUUCCUCCAAAGGUGUGUUGGUAGAAAACGCUGCUGUUGUGGCUGCUGCUCUGGUGGAAUGCGCUGUGAUACUCAAGGGUGUUGGCAGGUGUUGAACCUCAUAAGCCAAUGCAAUACAUGCUCUAAUCCAGCGGGCUAAUGUGGCUGACAAUACCCGCUGGCCCAUGGUGGAAGGCAAGUAUGACACAAAAAACGAGUCCGUGACUAAAGGCUUCAGUUCUGGAUAGAUAAAUUCUCAAACAGCGUCUGACAUCAAACUUAUGCCAGUCUUUUUCCUUGGGAUGUGACGACUUUGGACGGAACGACGGUAAUAUCAAAUUUUGCAAUCUGUGGAAAAUAGAAGGGACUUUAGGGAGCACUGAAGGAUCUGGAAUCAGAGUAAUUGAAUCUGCCGAAAAUAUACAGAACUUGGGGUGAGCUGAAAGAGACUUGAGUUCUGAAAUCCUUCUGACUGAAGUAAUCGCUAUUAGAAAGGCCAAUUUCAUGGACAGAAUGUGUAAAGGAAUGGAACGUAUGGGCUCAAAGGGAGGGGUGUGAAGCAUCCUCAGCACCUUGUGAAGGUCCCACGUCGGAAACCUGUGAACCACUGGUGGAGAAAUAAGUGUAGCACCUCUCAGAAAUCUUUUCAAAUCAGGGUGAAAAGAUAGAUUCUUUCCCUUGAAUGAUGCCAGGAGAGGGCUUAUCUCUGCUACAUGGCGUUUGAUUGUGUUCGCGCUGAGACCUUUGUCCAAACCGUCCUGUAAGAAUGCCAUAAGUUCUGGCAAGGAACAUGUGUUUGGAGAUUACUUAUGUCUACCACACCAAUGAAGGAAUACUCUCCAUGUGGAUUGGUAUAUUUAGUUUGUUGACGACUGUCUAGAUGCCAAAAUAGUGUUCAGGACGUUUGGUUCAUAUCCCUGGCAACUGAGGAUGUUGUGCUCAGUCGCCAAGCAGCAAGCUUGAACCAGCUGGGGUUGUGGUGCAGAAUUGGCCCCUGGCUGAGAAGAUCGUCCAUGUCCGGAAGGAAAAAGGGACCAUCCACCGUGAGAUGUAGAAUCUCGGUAAACCAUGGGCGGCGGGGCCAAUACUUUGCUUGCAACAGAUGAAUGCGCCGCAACAGCCUGCUCAGGAGAGGAACCGGAGGAAAGGCAUACAACAGCCCUGGCGGCCACGGGGCUGACAUGGCAUCUACUGCUUCUGCCUGGUGAUAUGGGAAUUGAGCGAAGAAGCGUGGUAGUUGGUUGUUGAGACUGGACACAAAGAGAUCUACAAGUGGGCAACCCAGUUUCCUGGUGAUUUGCCUGAAUACUCUGGGACUGAGUUUCCACUCUGCUGGAUGUAGUUCCUAACGACUCAACCAAUCUGCUUGUACAUUGAGCGAUCCGCUAACAUGGUGGGCUAUUAUUGAUGCCAGAUGGAUCUCGGCCCACUGUAGUAAGAGCGUCGCCUCCUGGUGGAGCUCUUGAGACCUGGUUCCCCCCGUCUGUUGACAUGCGCCUUGGCUGUCAUGUUGUCUGUAUGGAUUAGAAUGUCCUUUCCCCGUACCAGAGGCUUGAAGGCCAAUAGUGCCAAGCGAAUGGCCCUCAGUUCGAGCCAAUUCAUGCUGUGUUUUCUCUCUUCCGAGGUCCAAGUGCCCUGAGCUGAUUUGGACAAGCAGUGAGCCCCCCAGCCACGAAGGCUGGCAUCUGUUGUUAAGAUGAUUCUGGGUGGAUCUAGGACGGUCUCCCCCUGUUCAGAUUGUGAGGAGUCAGCCACCACCCCAGAGAAUCCUGCACAUGACGUGGCAGAGAGACCCUCCUGUGACUCUUGCUUGCGAUGUCUUCCUGGAAGGGCAGUAAGAACCAUUGUAAGGGGCGAAGGUGGAAACACGCCCAGGGGACAGCUUCCAGAGUUGCCACCAUCAGACCCAAUAGUUGGGCAAGGGUUCUGACUGGAAUAUUUUGAAGCGAUAGCACUUCUUGUAUUAGGGCCAUGAGCUUCUGUUUGCAUUCCUCUGGAAGAAAAAGCUUGUCCUGUAUCGUGUCGAUGAUGGCCCCAAGGUGCUGCAGUUGAGUAGCUGGAGAUAGGUGACUUUUGGCUUUGUUCACUAUGAAGCCAUGAGAGUCCAGGACAUCCAAGGUGAUGUCGAUGUCCCUUUUUGGAGUCUCUUUUGACUGAAGAUCGUCCAAAUAAAAGAACAGUCUGACCUUUUGAAGUUGAAUGUGCGCUACUGGGGGGCAUUAUUUUCAUGAAAAUCCUUGGCGCCGAUGAAAGGCUGAAGGGCAUUGCUGCAUACUGGUAAUGGUGCCCCUGGUAGCAAAAAUGAAGCAGAUGUCUGGAUCUAUGAUGAAUUGGCACGUGGAGGUAGGCCUCUGUCAAGUCGAUGGAUGACAAUAGAUCCCUGUUAUGUAGGUUCUCUGCAACAGAACACAGAGUUUCCAUGUGAAACUUUCUUUUCCGUACCCAGCGGUUGAGAUACUUCAGAUCUAAUACUGCCCUGAAAGUACCGUCCCAUUUGGGCACGGUAAAUGAGAUUGAGCAAAUUCCGUGACUAAGCUGAUUCGGAGGAACUGGUUCUAUGGCAGAGAUGGCCAGAAGGUGCCUGAUGGCCUGCUGCAUGGCUGAGUGUUUCAGAUGGGACUUGGACCAAGGAGUAGACAUGAACCUGUCCCUGGGCAGGGAGCUUAGUUCAAUUGCGCAGCCAUGUAGCACCGUCUGCAGGACUCACUGGUCUGACUCGGAGCCCUCCCAAGCAUGAAAGAAUUGAGAGAGAUGACCUCCUACUCCAGACAAGUCACAAGGUUUGACGGGGCUUGGCUUGUUGUCCAAACUGAUUCUGCUUGGAGGAGGCAAACUUGUUAAAUUGUGGUCUAUUCCAAUUGUGUCGGUUCCUGUUGUCUCUGUCCCUAUCAUUGUUACGCAAGUAGGGACGAAAGGAUCGAAAGGGCUGAUUGGUCCUUUUGUAUGGCCGCAUUCCUGGCGGCUUUUGUUUGCCGCCACCCCCUGUUGGAGGUCUAUAGAGCCCUGCUCGUCGUCUCUUGCAGCCGCGUCUGAGGAAGGCACAGUGCCCCGGGGUGGGCCGUUCUAUCCAGCCAGUACCUGGACGCAGUAGUGCAGGGACUUUGUUGUUUUCAUUGCCGACGUAGGCUUUUUUGCCCUAGGCAUAAUGUCCUGUAAAAUGCUGGCUCUUCUAGGCUCCAUUAGGCAGGGAAGUAAAAGGCAACAAAAGCGGGAGGAGAAAGAAGUUGAGAGGAUUAGCGCCAGCCCCGGCAGCACAAAGACCAGAACAACUCACAGCACAGCACAAAGAAAAAAUAUGUAAGAAGAGGUUUUCAAGUAAAUGAAAAAGAAAAUGUACAACACAUGAAGAUUAAUUUCUACUUACAUUCCAGAACAGAAGAUGGAAACUAGAAAUCUUUCUUGUAGGGAUUUUUCCCUCCAACACAGUAGUCAGGAAAAAGAACUCAGUUUGCCACAAAGACUCGAGCAGAAUGAAUACAAACUUUUAAACCUAAAUGGAGUGAAUAGUUCAGCAGUUACCCAAUGUGAAGGAAUCACUCCUUCCCAUUGUGUUUUAUGGUUUUUAUUCUGAUUGUUCUGUGUUUCCUCCAGGCUCUGUGAAAGGAAGCAACCUCUUACAGCCAAGUCUGAGGUUAGAGUUACCUGCUGCAGAAUUUUGGAAGGAAAGUUACAAUGUGUUGUGAAUGGUUGCCUCCAGGCAGAAGGUUCUGGCUGCCUGAGGAAAGAAACUCCCUGAUGGGUUAUGGAUCCUUUUGGAACUGGAUCAAAGGGAAGACUGAGCAGCCAGGAGGAGGAGGACUGUGGGAGUAGAGCUUGGUGAGAGAGUGUGGGUGCUGCUGAGUGGUGUGUGAGCCAGAAGGCUAGAACAUCAGCAGAGAAAGGUUGGGCUGAAACCACUGGGGAAGGCAGCGUUGAGGGAGCUGGUCCUACUAGAACCUGCUUGGCUUUGGGAGAGAAGACUAGCAAGUUUGUUUUGUAUCGUUAUACUCUUGCCAACUGAAUUUUUCAACAUUUGUUCCUGUACUGUUUUGUUUGGGGAUGGGUUGUUUGUUUGUUUUUUAAAUUUUGCAACCUUUUAUUAUAGUAAACCUGUUCUUGUUUUUAUACUAUCUUACUGCGGUCCCCAUUGUUUUUGUCCCACCUCUUGCCCAUUUUGUUUACCACACUACUGAGUUUUGAUAUUGUUUUUGAAAGACAGAGGGUUCAAUAGCUAGGAGUGAAACCAGUCACACUAGCUAAAGAUCUAAUUUUGGUGGCAGUGGAUGGUUAGACUGAGGGCCAGCUGUGGCUAAACCCUCACACUCAGCUAUACCCAACACAAUUGGGAGAUCAGGAAGCCAUUAUAAUCUCAAUAUCUAGGGA